UAAACGGUAGCACGGGAGGCAUCCUGGUGGUUAGUGGCGAACGGGUGAGUAAUAUAUCGGAACGUGCCCCAGUCGUGGGGGAUAACGCAGCGAAAGCUGUGCUAAUACCGGCAUACGAUCUACGGAUGAAAGCGGGGGAUCGCAAGACCUCGCGCGAUUGGAGCGGCCGAUAUCAAGAUUACCUAGUUGGUGGGGUAAAGGCCCACCAAGGUCGACGGAUCUGUAGCUGGUCUGAGUAAGUGACGACCCAGCCACGACGUGGAACUGAGGACACGGUCCAGACUCCUAACGGGAGGCAGCAGUGGGGAAUUUUGGACAAUGGGCGCAAGCCUGAUCCAGCAAUGCCGCGUGCAGGAUGAAGGCCUUCGGGUUGUAAACUGCUUUUGUACGGAACGAAACGGUGAGCUCUAAUAAAGUAUGCUAAUGACGGUACCGUAAGAAUAAGCACCGGCUAACUACGUGCCAGCAGCCGCGGUAAUACGUAGGGUGCGAGCGUUAAUCGGCAAUUACUGGGCGUAAAGCGUGCGCAGGCGGUUAUGUAAGACAGAUGUGAAAUCCCCGGGCUCAACCUGGGACCUGCAUUUGUGACUGCAUAGCUAGCAGUACGGUCAGCAGGGGGAUGGAAUUCCGCGUGUAGCAGUGAAAUUGCGGUUAGCAUUGCGGGAGGGAACCACCCGAUUGGCGAAAGGGCAAUCCCCCUGGGACCUGGUACUGACCGGCUCUUGCCACGAAAAGCGUGGGGGAGCCAACGGGAUUUUCCUUACCCUGGUGUCCACGCCCUAAGAUUUACUGGUUGUGGGUUUUCACUGGUCCGUAACGACAGCAACCGGGAAUU
rnacentral:rRNA from 1 species